UGGGCGGGGACUCAAAGGGGUGUGUGAGGGGCGGAUGCUCGGAGUGGGCAGGGCCCGAGCUUGCCAGGCCGAGGGAGUCUUGCGCAAGGGUUCGUGGAAAGCCUUGCGAGCUUAACAGGGCCACCCUGCCCGAAGCGAGGAUGGCGGUCUCUGCGCUCCAGCUGUGGCGUAUGGGCGGGCUGCUGAGAAGACGCUUCCCAACCUGCUUGUCUCCUUGGAAGAUUCCUCCUCGUGUCCUCAAAUCCUCACAACCGGAAGCUCUAGUCAGUCUGACAAACAAUGCAGUAGCCUUUGCACCUCUGCAGACACUUACUGAUGAGGAAAUUAUGAUGAAGCAGACAGUCAAAAAAUUUGCACAGGAGCACGUUGCUCCUCUGGUUUCCUCUAUGGAUGAGAACUCAAAAAUGGAGAAAUCGGUGAUCCAGGGAUUGUUCCAGCAAGGGCUGAUGGGCAUUGAAGUUGAAGCACAAUAUGGAGGGACAGAAGCUUCCUUUUUCUGCUCUGUCCUAGUGAUAGAGGAACUAGCUAAGGUGGAUGCUUCGGUGGCUCUCCUGUGUGACAUCCAGAACACAAUAAUUAACAACCUGUUUAGAAAACACGCUUCAGAAGAACAGAAGGCCACCUAUUUGCCAAAGCUGGUUACAGAAAAAUUAGGGAGCUUUUGCCUCUCUGAAGCUGGAGCCGGUAGCGACUCUUUCGCUAUGAAAACAAGAGCUGAUAAAAGUGGAAAUUACUACGUCCUCAAUGGGUCGAAGAUGUGGAUCAGCCAUGCCGAGCAUGCAGAGCUCUUCCUGGUCUUCGCCAAUGUGGACCCCAGCUCUGGCUACAGAGGCAUCACCUGCUUCUUAGUAGACCGAGAUACAGAAGGUUUCCAGAUAGGGAAACGAGAAAAUAAAAUGGGCAUCAGAGCUUCAUCCACCUGUCAGUUAACAUUUGAAAAUGUUAAGGUUCCAGAGACUAAUAUUUUGGGGAAAAUUGGGCAUGGUUAUAAGUAUGCCAUAGGAAGUCUUAAUGAAGGUAGAAUCGGAAUUGCUGCACAGAUGCUAGGACUGGCCCAAGGAUGUUUUGACUACACUAUUCCAUACAUUAAAGAAAGGAUGCAGUUUGGCAAACGAAUAUUUGAUUUUCAGGUGUAUAUAAUUAAACUCUGUUGUCUUGGACUUUUACCCUUCCUGUGUGUAAAGCCAUGGAGGGAGUUCCCCAAGGAUGUUCUAUUGGGAGGAGAAAUAGGUCUCAUGGGAUACGCUGUGGCCAUCUUAAUCUUUUCUAAGGGCAGAACCAUAGUCCUUGAGGCCAGCUGUUGUAUGUUUGGGAUGCCUUGUGGGCACUGGAGAGCUGUCUCCUCACCGACCUCAGAAGUCCAGUAUCCCCUAGGUUCAUGCCUCACUCUUCUGUGUGCAGGUUCAUAUGAUUUUAUCUGAAAUGCCUGACACUAGAAAUAUUUCAGGCUUCAGGUGUUUGCAGAGUUCAGAACAUUUUUGUGUACAUGUAAGAUAGCCUGGGGAUGUGAGGUAAAUCUAAAAAAAACUUCAUUUAUAUUCCUUAUAUGCCCUAUAUGUAGCUCUGAGGUAAUUUUAUAUAAUACUUUUAAUAAUUUUAUCUAUGAACCAAAAGGUCACGGGUUAAACUUUCUACUUGUGGCACCAUCUUGAUGCUUAAAAUGUUUCAGAUUUUGGAGCAUUUUGGGUUUCGGAUUUUCAGAUUAGGAAUGCUUGCCCAGUAGUAGCCGUAGCUCCUGCCAUCAUCUCCUUCCUAUACAGGAAAACUGGAGCACAUAGUAGGUGGGCUCCCAAAAUCAUGUAGUUGGUUUGUUUUUUCAUUUCAGUAUACUAGAGUCCUGUGUCAAAGCCAGCUUCCAGCAAGAAGGGCAGACAGUGAGACAGGUUAAAGGGGGCUUUUGAUUUUCCCUGUAAGCUAGGGAUCAGUCUCUCUUUAUAUAUGCUCAGGGUCAGGUAAACUACUAAGUAUAGCAAUGGUUGCGUUUUCAGAGACUGUUGGGAUGUCUUAUUUUUUGUUUUCAGGCAGAAAUUUAAUAUUAAGAAAUUCGGUCAUGCCAGGCAUGGUGGUAUAUGCCUUUAAUCACACCCCUCAGGAGGCAGAGGCAGGUGGAUCUCUGUGACUUUGAGGCCAGCCUGGUCUACAUAGGGCUCCAACACCAAGUGGCUCAGGUGGCCACCCAGCUGGAAGCCACACGGUUGCUAACAUACAACGCUGCUAGGCUCGUAGAAGCCGGAAGGCCAUUUAUAAAAGAAGCAUCUAUGGCCAAAUAUUAUGCAUCUGAGGUCGCUGGGCUAACAACAAGCAAGUGCAUCGAGUGGAUGGGAGGGGUCGGCUACACCAAAGAUUACCCUGUGGAGAAAUUCUUCCGAGAUGCCAAGAUCGGUACAAUAUAUGAAGGAGCUUCCAACAUCCAGCUGAACACCAUCGCCAAGCACAUCGAUGCAGAGUACUGAUGACUGUGGGAUGGGCCCUCUGCGUCACUGACAAACCAUUUCCAGCUGCUGUGCCUUAUUGAGCAGGGUCUAGAGCAGUGCAGGGCUUCCUUGGACUUCCCUUGUCCUGGUCUCAGGCCUGGAUUUUGUUCCUGUCUCUUUCCAAUCUACUCUAAGUCUAUUUCUAAGCUUCUGAACGCAUAUUUCUCAUCCUAGUUGCAGAGUAUACAAAAGUUUCACUCUAGCAGCAUUUGGGAAGAAGAAACCAUUUGAGGUAUUGGUAUUGCUGACAGAAAUAGUCACUUUAUAUUCCUACUAAAUCUUUGUACUGUGGUAUGAGCCAGAGGAGCGUUUGUUACACUUGGCAAUUUUUAUUCAAUACUUUAUAGAUUCAGUGGUAAGUGGCUAAACAAGGUAGAAGCUGAUAAAAUUUAUUUGGAAAAAUCUAGAAUCUUAGUUCUAAAUAUCAAAAAUAGUAGAAAAUAAAAAGUGUAGCUUGUAGGCCAUAUAAUUGACAAUAACAAAAAGUCCCAAAUGUUAUUUUAACCAACAAAAGGAGUAUGUUUGGCUGCUAUAAUUGAACUAUAUGAAAGAUGUAUUAUGUGGUGGCUUUUAGCAGCCCAUUUAAAAAACAUGUCCCUGUAUUAGUUUUCAACUAUAAAGUUUAAGUAAUUUGGCCUAAUCAUCUGAAAAUAAUUUAUUAGAUCAUGCACUAUUUUUUGGUAGUAUGAUUUAUUUCUGUAUUUUAAUUGAGUAUUUUCCCUCAAACUUGGUUAUUGGACUUUAUCCUAAAUAGUAAUUAAUUGAGAAAUUCAAUUUUGGUUUUCAAAAUUGAUUCUUAAGAGAAAUAUACCCCCAUAAGAAAAUAAUAUCACAAUCUCAUAAGGAUAGGGAAUGGAGACUUGGUAGUCUGAAAACAUACAUUCAGUAUAAAUAUAUGUAGUCAUUUAUAUAGUAUAUUAGAUAAUUUUAUAUUUGUGAAGACAAAGAUCUAUGUUUUACAAUGUAAAUGAAAAACAGGCAAAGCCUAAUCAGAUAUCCAGCUGGUGAAGCCAUUGAUCAGUGUUAGGGAUUUACAGUCGGGAGAAGACGCUCUAGUUGCAGACCCUGAGUCCCCUGGAGAGAGAAGUAGACAGUAGACAAACGAGUCGCACAUUUCCAGAGGAAACAUCACAAGUUAGAUGUGAAAAAUGCCCGAGGCUCACGCAGUUGCUGGAAAUAAUCGUUACUUCUAGAUAGAAAGUAUUUUGGUGCUUUUGCAAAAGGAUAAUGUUUAUUAAGAAACUUGACAUUUUCUAGGUAAUUUUGCUUUGCACAGUUAAUGUUUAUUGAGCUAAAUUAAUUUCCACAAUGCAAAUCAUAGUUAAAUAUGCAAGGUUGUAUAAAUACAGUUGAAAUAGGAAUUACAUUAAAACAGUAGGAAGAAAUAAAACAAAUUUAGACCUUGAAUCCAAAGAGAUAAGGUCUACUUGACUUUCAAAUGGGGGAAAUGAUGAAAGGCCUCACCCAGUCUCAGAACAGACAGAUGAGUGUGAUAAGAAAGGAAGGGGUGGAUGCAGACCCUGACAGGGCAGACACCUUCCACUCCUGUAAUAAUGGGAAAGAGCAGGGCUUAGAGAUGAUGCAGCCGCGGGAGUCAGGAUGAGUAAACAGCCUGCCCUCCUUUCCUAGACUCAUGGCAAUCCUCCUGCUUCAUGUGUAACCUGGGCUGGCCGCAGAUUCAUGGCAAUCCUGCUUUCAGGCUUCCAGUGCUGAGAUUUUAUGUCUGCACCCCAGCUCCCAUUUCUGACUUGUUGAUUUUGAAGUCAUGCCCACGAUUACAGCUUUGUCAAUUAUUCUCAUUUAUUUCUAUUUGUUUUGCUCUAUGUAGUUCCCAGUUAUGUUUUUAGGGGUAAUAAAGUUCAUGGCUGUUGGAUCAUC